rnacentral:rRNA from 1 species
UACGUAGGGUGCGAGCGUUGUCCGGAAUUAUUGGGCGUAAAGAGCUCGUAGGCGGUUUGUCACGUCUGCUGUGAAAUCCCGAGGCUCAACCUCGGGCCUGCAGUGGGUACGGGCAGACUGGAGUGCGGUAGGGGAGAAUGGAAUUCCUGGUGUAGCGGUGAAAUGCGUAGAUAUCCGGAGGAACACCAGUGGCGAAGGCGACUUUCUGGCCUGUUCUUGACGCUGAGGCGCGAAAGCUAGGGGAGCAAACGGG